AGCUGUAAUCAUGGCACUUUGCACUAAACAGAACAAAUAGAAACCUAAAGGAGUUCACAAAAUUGACUUUCUUUCGAUUUUUCCCAAACUUGAAUCCAUUCUCGUUUUCCUCUUUCAGAAGUGAGAUAUCUAGUUGGGUUUUCCACCAGAAAGGACUUUUAUAAUUUAUAUAACCACCCGAAAUAGUUCUUCUGUUUGCUUCUUUUUCCCCAAUUUUCUCAGCACUGAUAUUUCCUUUCUGAGAUUCAGACCCCACAUCAACAAUUCAAGGAAAAAUUUAGAUACCCACUGGAAAAGAACGAAGACUCUUUAUUGGACAAAGAGACCUUAGAAGUGUGGUCAAUGGGGGCAGUGUCACUUAAGGUAUUCACUUUAUCCAGCAAAGAUUUUGAUUUGGAGAUAGACGUAUUUGUGGAGUUUUCAAAGACUUGGUAGAAAGCAAAUGAGGUUGUUGUUAGAGAAGAAAAAGAUUGCCUAUGGUGGAAGUAGAAGAGGAGAGGGCUAUUCAUGGUGAUUCGGUGAACACCUAUGUUAAGUAUUUGAGAAGCAAAUAUGAGGCAAGAGGUGGUGGAAACUUUCCUUCAAGAGCUAUCAAGAAAAUUUUGACACCACCAUCAAUUAUCAGGUGCCAGGUGGGAAGUAGCAUGGCAUAGAAUUCUAAGUUCUAACAAUAGAUAAUCUCAAAAGGAGGAAGACAUAUCAUCGUAAAGAUACAUUUUUUUAUGCAAGAAAGAGGUAAAAGAAUUCUCAACCAUAUUGUUCUUCACCGAGUGGACUACAGAACUUUGGAUUAUCAUAAGAACCAUGUGGCCAUUCCUUGAGCUACUGCAAGAACAUCUAAAGAACUGAUGGCUUUUUCUACCUGUCCAUGCUUGGGAAUCAGCAAAACAUAGUUGAAUUAUUGCCCCCCUGGUUACUGCUCAACAACAAGGAUGGAUAGGGUUUUUAAUGAGAUGGCAUCUUUCUUUGGAAAUAUACAAGGUACUUGGUUUCACAACCUGUUGAUCAGGUACAGUGGGAUGGAGGAGAGAUUUUUAUGCGAGAGAGUGCAUUUAAUGUAAUGUUUUCACCAAGUUGGCUAUUUUCCAUUCGAAAAAAAAUCAAAGUUUCUGCACCAGUGUGUAUGAGUUUACAAAGAAACAGAAUGUCAUCUUCAAUUACAUGAAAGAUAGACAAGCUCAUGCAUGUGACGAACUUUCAGGUUUUACAGUUGACUAUUUCAAACCAUAUUAGCCAUCAGUAUUGACUUUUGACAUUUUCAACCAAUCAAGUCCAUUCUCACAGGGACUCAAAGAAACUGAUAUCACAAUCGAUUUGCAACAAUGAGAAAGUGAUUUCCAAAUGGAACUUUGUAAAACCAGGUGCCAGGUGGGAAGUAGCAUGGCAUAGAAUUCUAAGUUCUAACAAUAGAUAAUCUCAAAAGGAGGAAGACAUAUCAUCGUAAAGAUACAUUUUUUUAUGCAAGAAAGAGGUAAAAGAAUUCUCAACCAUAUUGUUCUUCACCGAGUGGACUACAGAACUUUGGAUUAUCAUAAGAACCAUGUGGCCAUUCCUUGAGCUACUGCAAGAACAUCUAAAGAACUGAUGGCUUUUUCUACCUGUCCAUGCUUGGGAAUCAGCAAAACAUAGUUGAAUUAUUGCCCCCCUGGUUACUGCUCAACAACAAGGAUGGAUAGGGUUUUUAAUGAGAUGGCAUCUUUCUUUGGAAAUAUACAAGGUACUUGGUUUCACAACCUGUUGAUCAGGUACAGUGGGAUGGAGGAGAGAUUUUUAUGCGAGAGAGUGCAUUUAAUGUAAUGUUUUCACCAAGUUGGCUAUUUUCCAUUCGAAAAAAAAUCAAAGUUUCUGCACCAGUGUGUAUGAGUUUACAAAGAAACAGAAUGUCAUCUUCAAUUACAUGAAAGAUAGACAAGCUCAUGCAUGUGACGAACUUUCAGGUUUUACAGUUGACUAUUUCAAACCAUAUUAGCCAUCAGUAUUGACUUUUGACAUUUUCAACCAAUCAAGUCCAUUCUCACAGGGACUCAAAGAAACUGAUAUCACAAUCGAUUUGCAACAAUGAGAAAGUGAUUUCCAAAUGGAACUUUGUAAAACCAGGGAACUACAAAUCCAUUCGGAAAUAUCUAUUAAAAGGCUUUCCA